UACGAAGGGGGCUAGCGUUGUUCGGAGUUACUGGGCGUAAAGGGCGCGUAGGCGGCGCACCAAGUCAGGCGUGAAAGCCCUGGGCUCAACCCGGGAAUUGCGCUUGAUACUGGUCAUCUUGAGUACGGGAGAGGUGUGUGGAACUCCGAGUGUAGAGGUGAAAUUCGUAGAUAUUCGGAAGAACACCGGUGGCGAAGGCGGUCUGCUGGGCAGUAGCUGACACUGAGGCGCGACAGCGUGGGGAGCAAACAGG
rnacentral:rRNA from 1 species